rnacentral:lncRNA from 1 species
CACUUUGAGGCCUAUGGUGAAAAAUAAAAUAACUCCAGAUAAAAACAAGUAAGAAGCUAUCUGUGAAACUGCUUUCUACUGUGUGGAUGCACCUCACAGAUUUAAACCUUUCUUUUGAUUCAGCAGAUUGGAAACCUUCUUUUUGAGGAUUCUGCAAAAGGACGUUUGUGAGCCCUUAGAAGCCUAUGGUGAAAAACAGAAUAUCCACAGAUAAAAACGAGAAAGAAGGUAUCAGUGAGACUGCUUUGUGAUAUGGGGAUUCAUCUCACAGAGAUUGUAAACACCUUUUUGAAGAAUCUGCGAAUGGGCAUUUUAGAGAACUUUGAAGCAUGUAAUGAAGAAUCAAAAAUCCCCAGAUAAAAA